rnacentral:rRNA from 1 species
AGAUAAAUAAGCAAGGGCGGACGGGGGAUGCCUAGGCUUCCGUAAGGCGAAGAAGGACGUGGUAAGCUGCGAAAAUUUGCGGGGAUUUGCAAACGAGAUUAGAUCCGCAAUUAUCCGAAUGGGGCAACCCAACAGAAUAGUAUUCUGUUACUCGAGAGAGAGCAAACCCUCUGAACUGAAACAUCUAAGUAGGAGGAGGAAAAGAAAGAAAUAUCGAUUUUCUGAGUAGUGGCGAGCGAAAAGGAAAUAGCCUAAACCAUAAUUGUGAUAGCAAAUAUGGGGUUGCAGGACUACAUUAAUUUUGAUAUUGAGCAAGUGGAAUUAUCUGGAAAGAUAAAUCGAAGAGGGUGAAAAUCCCGUACACGUAGAAUUGGUAUUAAGAAGUAGUAUCCUAAGUAUGGCAGGGCACGAAGAACCCGGUCAGAAUCAGCGGGGACCAUCCCGCAAGGCUAAAUACGGACGGAAGACCGAUAGUGAACCAGUACUGUGAAGGAAAGGUGAAAAGAACCGCGAACAGCGGAGUGCAAUAGAACCUGAAACCGUUCGCCUACAAGCGGUCGGAGCUGUGGUAACACAGUGACGGCGUGCCUUUUGCAUAAUGAGCCUACGAGUUGCUCCAUACUAGCGAGGUUAAAUACUUAAGGUAUGGAAUCGAAGCGAAAGCGAGUUUUAACAGGGCGUUAAGUUAGUAUGGGCAGACGCGAAACCUUGCGAUCUACCCUUGAGCAGGUUGAAGUAGCCGUAACAGGCUAUGGAGGACCGAACCAGUUUCCGUUGAAAAGGAUUUGGAUGACUUGAGGGUAGGGGUGAAAGGCUAAUCAAGCUGGGAGAUAGCUCGUACUCCCCGAAAUGUCUUUUGGGACAGCCUUGUAAAUUACGACAGGAGGUAGAGCUACCGAUAAGAUGAGAGGGCUUCAACGCCUAUCGAGUCUUGACGAACUCCGAAUGCCAGUCAGUAUAAUUACAGGAGUGAGCCGUCGGGUGCUAAUGUCCGGCGACGAGAGGGAAAGAACCCGGACCAUCAACUAAGGUCCCCAAACAUGAUUUAAGUUGCGAGAACGAAGUGCGGCAGCAGAGACAGCUAGGAUGUUGGCUUGGAAGCAGCCAUUCAUUUAAAGAGUGCGUAACAGCUCACUAGUCGAGCGGCUGUGCAUGGAUAAUAAGCGGGCAUCAAGAUCAUUACCGAAGUUAUGGAAUAAUAUAAAUAUUAUUGGUAGGGGAGCAUUCUGACAGCGUAGAAGAUAAUUUGUAAGGAUUAUUGGAGCGGUCAGAAAAGCAAAUGUAGGCAUAAGUAACGAUAAAGCGGGUGGGAACCCCGCUCACCGAAAGACCAAGGUUUCCUGAUCAACGUUAAUCGGAUCAGGGUUAGGCGGGACCUAAGGCGUAUUCGAGAGGAGAAGUCGAUGGACAACCGGUUAAUAUUCCGGUUCUUACUUAAGUUGCGAUGUAGAGACGGAGGAGUGACAGAUACGCGUACAGACGGAAUAGUACGUUAAAUGGUGUAGAGUAAUAUAGGUGGGUUAAAAUACAUUUAUAUCGAACCUGACAGUACCGAGCGAUUACGGUCAAUCGGAAAGUUAUCGUAAACAGACUUCCAAGAAAAACUACUAAGCGUCAGAUUUAAGUAACCCGUACCGUAAACCGACACAGGUGGUUGAGGAGAGAAUCCUAAGGUGCUCGAGAGAAUCAUGGCUAAGGAACUCGGCAAAAUAGUCCUGUAACUUAGGGAGAAAGGACCCCUUGCGAGAGGGCGCAGAGAAAUGGCCCAGGCGACUGUUUAACAAAAACACAGGACUUUGCGAAAUUGAGAGAUGAAGUAUAAGGUCUGACACCUGCCCGGUGCCGGAAGGUUAAGAGGGGAUGUUAUUCUGAAAAGGAGAAGCAUUGAAUUGAAGCCCCGGUAAACGGCGGCCGUAACUAUAACGGUCCUAAGGUAGCGAAAUUCCUUGUCGGGUAAGUUCCGACCUGCACGAAUGGUGUAACGAUCUGGGCGCUGUCUCAGCCAUGAACUCGGUGAAAUUGUAGUCGCGGUGAAGAUGCCGCGUACCCGCAACGGGACGAAAAGACCCCGUGAACCUUUACUGCAGCUUAACGCUGCUUUUGGGUAAGUGAUGUGUAGGAUAGGUGGGAGACUAAGAAGUUGUAUCGUCAGGUAUAAUGGAGUCGCCGUUGAAAUACCACCCUUUGCUUGCUUGGAAGCUAACCUUUGAAAGGGGGACACCGUUUGGUGGGUAGUUUGACUGGGGUGGUCGCCUCCAAAAGAGUAACGGAGGCUUCCCAAGGUACCCUCCGCACGAAUGGUAACCGUGCAAAGAGUGUAUUAGCACAAGGGUGCUUGACUGAGAGACAUACAAGUCGACCAGGUACGAAAGUAGGGUAAAGUGAUCCGGUGGUUCAGCAUGGGUUGGCCAUCGCUCAAAGGAUAAAAGGUACUCCGGGGAUAACAGGCUGAUCGCCGCCAAGAGCUCAUAUCGACGCGGCGGUUUGGCACCUCGAUGUCGGCUCGUCACAUCCUGGGGCUGAAGUAGGUCCCAAGGGUUCGGCUGUUCGCCGAUUAAAGUGGCACGCGAGCUGGGUUCAGAACGUCGUGAGACAGUUCGGUCUCUAUCUGUUGUGGGCGUAAGAAACUUGAGGGGGUCUGACUUUAGUACGAGAGGACCGAGUUGGACGUACCGCUGGUGUAUCGGUUGUGGCGCCAGUUGCAUAGCCGAGUAGCUACGUACGGUUUAGAUAAGCGCUGAAAGCAUCUAAGCGCGAAGCUAGCCCCAAGAUGAGGUUUCUGCAUAGGGUCGUAGGAGACUACUACGUAGAUAGGUUGCAGGUGUAAAGGCAGUAAUGUCAAAGCCGAGCAAUACUAAUAGCCCGAGAAAUUUAUCUUG